UUCAGUGAUAAAGCACUUGCCUAGAAAGCAUGAGGCCCUGGGUUCAAUCCCCAGCACUGAAA
rnacentral:tRNA from 1 species